GAUAAACGCUGGCGGCGUGCAUGAGACAUGCAAGUCGAACGAACGAGCUUGCUCGUUAGUGGCGGACGGCUGAGUAACGCGUAGGUGACCUGCCCCGAAGUGGGGGAUAACUGCCCGAAAGGGUGGCUAAUACCGCAUGUGGCGACACUUUCAUUGGUGUCAUCAAAGCCGCGAGGCGCUUCGGGAGGGGCCUGCGUCCGAUUAGCUCGUUGGUGGGGUAAUGGCUCACCAAGGCGACGAUCGGUAGGUGGUCUGAGAGGACGAUCACCCAGACUGGGACUGAGACACGGCCCAGACUCCUACGGGAGGCAGCAGUCGGGAAUUUUGCUCAAUGGGCGCAAGCCUGAAGCAGCAACGCCGCGUGCGGGAUGACGGCCUUCGGGUUGUAAACCGCUUUUACCAGGGACGAUAAUGACGGUACCUGAUGAAUAAGUCACGGCUAACUACGUGCCAGCCGCCGCCGUAACAC
rnacentral:rRNA from 1 species